rnacentral:rRNA from 1 species
GUGUCAGCCGCCGCGGUAAUACAGAGGGUGCAAGCGUUGUUCGGAAUUAUUGGGCGUAAAGCGCGUGUAGGCGGCCCGGCAAGUCAGGUGUGAAAGCCCUCGGCUUAACCGAGGAAGUGCGCCUGAAACUAUCGGGCUUGAGUACCGGAGAGGGCGGCGGAAUUCCCGGUGUAGAGGUGAAAUUCGUAGAUAUCGGGAGGAACACCAGCGGCGAAGGCGGCCGCCUGGACGGUCACUGACGCUGAGACGCGAAAGCGUGGGGAGCAAACAGGAUUAGAUACCCUGGUAGUCCACGCUGUAAACGAUGAGCGCUAGGUGUUGUGGGUGUUGACCCCCGCAGUGCCGCAGCUAACGCAUUAAGCGCUCCGCCUGGGGAGUACGGCCGCAAGGCUAAA